ACAUAAAAACACGAAGUAUUGAUAAAUUGUAGCAUACAUGUAAGUUGAUAUUAAGUUAACUGUCUGUGUUUUUACCUCAGGUAAACUCAGCAAGCUUUCUAAGUUACUUCAGAUGCUGGCGAUAAGUCUUGAGGUCUGAACAAUUUUACAGGACACCACCAUCGCUGAGAGCAAAGAGGCUCAAUUCUUUAAUGGAGGACAGCAGAGAUGUUGCACAGUAAGGGCAAGAACGCAGUACAAAGACACAAGAAAGACAAUGAGACAAACAGAGACACCAGUUCCUGCUGCUGUGAAGGUCAUCACACCACUGAUCUACUGACCGUCCUUCUACGAGAUGCCCAGCCAAUGCCUGACCAGCAACCACCGGCGAAACCAGUUUAAUUCGCUUACCCGUUCACAUACCCCGAUAGUAUUUAUAUAUAUAUAAAUAUAUA